rnacentral:sRNA from 1 species
GCCCAUGGGGAAGGAUGAGAAGCUUCGACUAAGGUUCGACUCGAGCGAAGCGAGAGAACGUUGCCGCAGGCAACGGCCCGAAGGGCGAGGCGCUUUAGCGCCGAGUAAUCCUUCCCCCACCACCA